CUAGACGAGCGAGACGACCUCCCUCAAAGUCUGGAACCCAGAAAUAUCGCGUCUUCUAUUUGUGUUGGUCAUCUACGAUUUGGUUGAUGCAGCCCCGUCUGGGAUUUGGUUGAUGAACCAUCUUCGAUUUGGUUGAUGCAGCCCCGUCUGGGAUUUGUUUGAUGAACCAUCUGGGAUUUGGUUGAUCCCUGCAGUGAGUGCAAUCCAAUUUCAUUCUUGAUCAGAUUUCCAAAUUUCUCCCAACCCAGUUCAAAGGCUUUACAGGUGAUUGAGCAAAACCCAGAGCCCGAGAACAAGCAGAGAGACAAACGUU